rnacentral:rRNA from 1 species
GGACCUAAGCUGAGGCCGAAAGGCGUAGGUGAUGGACAACAGGUUGAUAUUCCUGUACUACCGAUAACCGUUUGAGAGAUGGGAUGACACAGUAGGAUAAGCUAAGCACACUGUUGGUUAUGUGUGCACAAGCAUUGAGGCAGUCAAAGUAGGCAAAUCCGCUUUGAUAAUGCUGGGAUGUGAUGGGGAGCGAAAUUUAGUAGCGAA